rnacentral:tRNA from 1 species
GAGGGUAUAGCUCAAGUGGUAGAGUGCAUGCUUAGCAUGCAUGAGGUCCUGGAUUCAAUUCCCAGUACCUCCU